rnacentral:rRNA from 1 species
UUGUAGGACACUCUAUACGGAGUUAUAAAGGACGACAUUAGACGAAUCAUCUGGAAAGAUGAAUCAAAGAAGGUAAUAAUCCUGUAGUCGAAAAUGUUGUCUCUCUUGAGUGGAUCCUGAGUACGACGGAGCACGUGAAAUUCCGUCGGAAUCUGGGAGGACCAUCUCCUAAGGCUAAAUACUCUCUAGUGACCGAUAGUGAACCAGUACCGUGAGGGAAAGGUGAAAAGCACCCCGGAAGGGGAGUGAAAUAGAACCUGAAACCGUGUGCUUACAAGUAGUCAGAGCCCGUUAAUGGGUGAUGGCGUGCCUUUUGUAGAAUGAACCGGCGAGUUACGAUUUGAUGCAAGGUUAAGCAGUAAAUGUGGAGCCGUAGCGAAAGCGAGUCUGAAUAGGGCGUUUAGUAUUUGGUCGUAGACCCGAAACCAGGUGAUCUACCCUUGGUCAGGUUGAAGUUCAGGUAACACUGAAUGGAGGACCGAACCGACUUACGUUGAAAAGUGAGCGGAUGAACUGAGGGUAGCGGAGAAAUUCCAAUCGAACCUGGAGAUAGCUGGUUCUCUCCGAAAUAGCUUUAGGGCUAGCCUCAAGUGAUGAUUAUUGGAGGUAGAGCACUGUUUGGACGAGGGGCCCCUCUCGGGUUACCGAAUUCAGACAAACUCCGAAUGCCAAUUAAUUUAACUUGGGAGUCAGAACAUGGGUGAUAAGGUCCGUGUUCGAAAGGGAAACAGCCCAGACCACCAGCUAAGGUCCCAAAAUAUAUGUUAAGUGGAAAAGGAUGUGGCGUUGCCCAGACAACUAGGAUGUUGGCUUAGAAGCAGCCAUCAUUUAAAGAGUGCGUAAUAGCUCACUAGUCGAGUGACACUGCGCCGAAAAUGUACCGGGGCUAAACAUAUUACCGAAGCUGUGGAUUGUCCUUUGGACAAUGGUAGGAGAGCGUUCUAAGGGCGUUGAAGCAUGAUCGUAAGGACAUGUGGAGCGCUUAGAAGUGAGAAUGCCGGUGUGAGUAGCGAAAGACGGGUGAGAAUCCCGUCCACCGAUUGACUAAGGUUUCCAGAGGAAGGCUCGUCCGCUCUGGGUUAGUCGGGUCCUAAGCUGAGGCCGACAGGCGUAGGCGAUGGAUAACAGGUUGAUAUUCCUGUACCACCUAUAAUCGUUUUA